rnacentral:rRNA from 1 species
GAUGAACGCUGGCGGCGUGCUUAACACAUGCAAGUCGAACGGAAAGGCUCCUGCUUGCCGGGGUACUCGAGUGGCGAACGGGUGAGUAACACGUGGGUGAUCUGCCCUGCACUUCGGGAUAAGCCUGGGAAACUGGGUCUAAUACCGGAUAGGACCACAUUUUGGAUGGUGUGGUGGAAAGUUUUUCGGUGUGGGAUGAGCUCGCGGCCUAUCAGCUUGUUGGUGGGGUAAUGGCCUACCAAGGCGUCGACGGGUAGCCGGCCUGAGAGGGUGUACGGCCACAUUGGGACUGAGAUACGGCCCAGACUCCUACGGGAGGCAGCAGUGGGGAAUAUUGGACAAUGGGAGCAAGCCUGAUGCAGCGACGCCGCGUGGGGGAUGACGGCCUUCGGGUUGUAAACUCCUAUCGCUAGGGACGAAGCGUUUUUGUGACGGUACCUGGAGAAGAAGCACCGGCUAACUACGUG